UAAUACGAAGGGUGCAAGCGUUACUCGGAAUUACUGGGCGUAAAGCGUGCGUAGGUGGUUUGUUAAGUCAGAUGUGAAAGCCCUGGGCUCAACCUGGGAACUGCAUUUGAUACUGGCAGGCUAGAGUGCGGUAGAGGGGUGCGGAAUUCCUGGUGUAGCAGUGAAAUGCGUAGAGAUCAGGAGGAACAUCCGUGGCGAAGGCGGCACCCUGGGCCAGCACUGACACUGAGGCACGAAAGCGUGGGGAGCAAACAGGAUUAGAUACCCUGGUAGUCCACGCCCUAAACGAUGCGAACUGGAUGUUGGGUUCAACUUGGAACUCAGUAUCGAAGCUAACGCGUUAAGUUCGCCGCCUGGGGAGUACGGUCGCAAGACUGAAACUCAAAUGAAUUGACGG
rnacentral:rRNA from 1 species